rnacentral:rRNA from 1 species
AACGAACGCUGGCGGCAGGCCUAACACAUGCAAGUCGAACGCUCCGCAGGGGGAGUGGCAGACGGGUGAGUAACACGUGGGAAUCUUCCUAUCGGUACGGAAUAGCUCAGGGAAACUUGGGGUAAUACCGUAUACGCCCGAGAGGGGAAAGAUUUAUCGCCGAUAGAUGAGCCCGCGUCUGAUUAGCUAGUUGGUGAGGUAAUGGCUCACCAAGGCGACGAUCAGUAGCUGGUCUGAGAGGAUGAUCAGCCACACUGGGACUGAGACACGGCCCAGACUCCUACGGGAGGCAGCAGUGGGGAAUAUUGGACAAUGGGCGCAAGCCUGAUCCAGCCAUGCCGCGUGAGUGACGAAGGUCUUCGGAUUGUAAAGCUCUUUUGGCGGGGACGAUAAUGAUGGUACCCGCAGAAUAAGCCCCGGCUAACUUCGUACCAGCCGCCGCCGUAA